UACAGAGGGUGCGAGCGUUGUUCGGAAUACUGGGCGUAAAGCGCGCGCAGGCGGCCUUUUAAGUCUGACGGUGAAAUGCCGGGGCUCAACCCCGUGCCCGCCGCGGAUACUGGGAGGCUGGAGACGAGUAGAGGCAAGCGGAAUUCCGGGUGUAGGCGGUGGAAUGCGUAGAGAUCCGGAAGAACACCGGAGGCGAAGGCGGCUUGCUGGGCUCGGUCUGACGCUGAGGCGCGAA
rnacentral:rRNA from 1 species